rnacentral:tRNA from 1 species
UGCGGGGUAGAGCAGUUGGUUAGCUUACGUGUUUGACUUGCACGAGGUCGGUAGUUCGAAUCUACCCCCCGCUAC